rnacentral:rRNA from 1 species
AUUGAACGCUGGCGGCAGGCCUAACACAUGCAAGUCGAACGCGUGGCGGAGGGGUGAGUAAUGUCUGGGAAACUGCCUGAUGGAGGGGGAUAACUACGGGAAAGGGUAGCUAAUACCGCAUACCAGCGGAUGUGCCCAGAUGGGAUUAGCUAGUAGGUGGGGUAAAGGCUCACCUAGGCGACGAUCCCUAGGUGGUCUGAGAGGAUGACCAGCCACACUGGGACUGAGACACGGUCCAGACUCCUACGGGAGGCAGCAGUGGGGAAUAUUGCACAAUGGGCGCAAGCCUGAUGCAGCCAUGCCGCGUGUAUGAAGAAGGCCUUAGGGUUGUAAAGUACUUUCAGCCGGGAGGCGUUACCCACAGAAGAAGCACCGGCUAACUCCGUGCCAGCCGCCGCGGUAAUUC